rnacentral:rRNA from 1 species
AUUGAACGCUGGCGGCAUGCCUUACACAUGCAAGUCGAACGGCAGCACGGACUUCGGUCUGGUGGCGAGCGGCGAACGGGUGAGUAAUGUAUCGGAACGUACCCUUCAGUGGGGGAUAACUAUCCGAAAGGAUAGCUAAUACCGCAUAUUCUCUGAGGAGGAAAGCGGGGGAUCGCAAGACCUCGCGCUGAUGGAGCGGCCGAUAUCAGAUUAGCUAGUUGGUGGGGUAAAGGCCUACCAAGGCGACGAUCUGUAGCGGGUCUGAGAGGAUGAUCCGCCACACUGGGACUGAGACACGGCCCAGACUCCUACGGGAGGCAGCAGUGGGGAAUUUUGGACAAUGGGGGCAACCCUGAUCCAGCCAUGCCGCGUGAGUGAAGAAGGCCUUCGGGUUGUAAAGCUCUUUCGGCCGGGAAGAAAUCGCGUGAGUUAAUACCUUGCGUGGAUGACGGUACCGGAAUAAGAAGCACCGGCUAACUACGUGCCAGCCGCCGCGGUAAUAC